rnacentral:rRNA from 1 species
AGGGUUUGAUCAUGGCUCAGGACGAACGCUGGCGGCGUGCUUAACACAUGCAAGUCGAACGGGCGUAGCAAUACGUCAGUGGCGGACGGGUGAGUAACGCGUGAGCAAUCUGCCUCUGUCAGGGGGAUAACACUUAGAAAUAGGUGCUAAUACCGCAUAAGACCACGUUUCGGCAUCGGAGAGUGGUAAAAGAUUUAUCGGACAGAGAUGAGCUCGCGUCCCAUUAGCUAGUUGGUAAGGUAACGGCCUACCAAGGCGACGAUGGGUAGCCGACCUGAGAGGGUGAUCGGCCACACUGGAACUGAGAAACGGUCCAG